rnacentral:rRNA from 1 species
AUUGAACGCUGGCGGAAUGCUUUACACAUGCAAGUCGAACGGCAGCACGGGGGCAACCCUGGUGGCGAGUGGCGAACGGGUGAGUAAUACAUCGGAACGUGCCCGGUCGUGGGGGAUAACGUAGCGAAAGUUACGCUAAUACCGCAUACGAUCUGAGGAUGAAAGCGGGGGACCUUCGGGCCUCGCGCGAUCGGAGCGGCCGAUGUCAGAUUAGGUAGUUGGUGGGGUAAAGGCCUGCCAAGCCGACGAUCUGUAGCUGGUCUGAGAGGACGACCAGCCACACUGGGACUGAGACACGGCCCAGACUCCUACGGGAGGCAGCAGUGGGGAAUUUUGGACAAUGGGCGCAAGCCUGAUCCAGCCAUUCCGCGUGCAGGACGAAGGCCUUCGGGUUGUAAACUGCUUUUGUAUGGAACGAAAAGGCUCUGGCUAAUACCUGGGGCUCAUGACGGUACCGUAAGAAUAAGCACCGGCUAACUACGUG